GAUGAACGCUGGCGGCGUGCCUAAUACAUGCAAGUCGAGCGAACAGAUGAGGAGCUUGCUCCUCUGACGUUAGCGGCGGACGGGUGAGUAACACGUGGAUAACCUACCUAUAAGACUGGGAUAACUUCGGGAAACCGGAGCUAAUACCGGAUAAUAUAUUGAACCGCAUGGUUCAAUAGUGAAAGACGGUUUUGCUGUCACUUAUAGAUGGAUCCGCGCCGCAUUAGCUAGUUAGUAAGGUAACGGCUUACCAAGGCAACGAUGCGUAGCCGACCUGAGAGGGUGAUCGGCCACACUGGAACUGAGACACGGUCCAGACUCCUACGGGAGGCAGCAGUAGGGAAUCUUCCGCAAUGGGCGAAAGCCUGACGGAGCAACGCCGCGUGAGUGAUGAAGGUCUUCGGAUCGUAAAACUCUGUUAUUAGGGAAGAACAAAUGUGUAAGUAACUAUGCACGUCUUGACGGUACCUAAUCAGAAAGCCACGGCUAACUACGUG
rnacentral:rRNA from 1 species